UCAAAAGAGAAUUGAUUUGGAGCAUUCUCAUUUCUCCAAGCAGCUGCUCACGAGUUUUGAACUAAUGGAGCGAGAUGGACGUCAAGAAUUGAAUAGGGAGAAGAACUGAAGUCUGAGACCGCGAGAUGGUGGCCAAUGGAAGCUAUGUUGCUGCUUGCGGCACUUGCGGUUGUUGUGCUAUGGUUGCCGAUAAGGAAGGUGAAGCUGUGAUCGAUCUUGGGCGUGACUUAGACAGGAAAUGGACAUGAAAUUAUUUUGAACCCAAGUGUGGGUUUUACUCGCCUAAGUCAUAACUGGAGUUGCUUCAAUGAGAGUCUGUGUUGGGACUUCGUAAGACUAUGAAUCAGUCUAUGAUGGUUGUUCUCAGAUUGGUGGUUGUAGAGAGAGCUGGGACUGAACGGUGCAAAGGGAGAUGUACUGUCGGCUGAUUAUGGUGAAUUGAGAGGGGUCUUAGCUCGAGUAAAGUGGUCCUAAGAUUUGGCUAGAUAAAUCAAGCAGGUGAAGAAUUAUGAAGAAGAGAAAGAAAUGCAUGAAUGAUGGCUUAACAGUGACAGUGGGGUUCAUAGGCUACUGUCAGGGGAGAAACGAUGGUUGUUUAAUGGCGAACUGAAUUGAGAACUUAGGCUACAGAGAGGCAAGAUGUGCAAGGGUCAAUUGGAUGAGCUGUGCAUUUCGAAGAUGGCAGCAAUAAGGUUCCAGAAGGGGAUCAAUUGCGGUAGAUGAGAAGGAAACGAAGAUGGCAACAAAACAAAGUCAGGGUCCGUGCAACUGGUUGGAAUUUGGAGUGAUGAUGUGAAUAGAAACGGGUUCUGUUGCUGAGUGCGAGAAGAGAAGGGGGUCGAAGUAGUGGUGCCAUGAUAACAAGAAGAAGACGCUGCGAAGACAAGGAGCUGAACGUGCAGGUGAUUAUCAAAAACGAGACUGCGGCUGGGAGCCGUCGACAACAACAAAACAGAGACUAGGGUUUGGAGUUCCAUUUCUCCCUUUUGAUUUCAAUUAGCUAGGGAUUUAUUGAUAUUUGUUUAUGGUUUUUAAGAAAGCCAUGGCUAGCUAAUUCCAUGUUAGGGUGAAAGGAUGAACAUGUAGGAUUUAUUUGUUUUCAUGAACAAGGGUUUUCUACCCAUUGAACUUAAUUUUAAUAAUUUUGUCUCUCUAUCAAUGUUUAUUUUCUAGCUAGAUUUUUCAUGCACUAUGCCAUGUAUAGUUCAUUGUUAGAUUAGUAGAAAAACUCAUUGAACCUAAGUAAUAAUUGAAUGAUGAAUAUUCCUUGACUCUUCAUGCUAUGUAUGAUUAGUGCUUAGAAAUUCUAUUUUUAGGUGAGAACAAAUAAUUCAUUUUUGAUGAUUUUUGCCAACGAUUCGUAAAUGCAAUAUCUUCCAUGUAUGAAUAGUUAGGUUUUCCGCUCUACAUGAGUUUAUUUGAGACCCUUUGUGAUUGAAUACGAGUAGUUUUCUUACAACGGAUUCCUGAAACCCUAACAUCUUCAUAUUCCUGGUUACCGUCUUUCCCAUUGAUUCUAUUUUAUUAGUUUAAUAUUAUUAUUUCGUUUUCAAUUUCUAAAAAUCCAAAAAUAUUAUUUCUGAUUAGUUUUAUAUUAAUAGGUACUCUCAGAAUCCUAUCAACUUUUGGCGACGCUGCUGGGAGCGACUGUGGAAUAUUGUAAUUAGUAUUUCUGAUUUUGUAUAGAGUUAGGUUUUUAUUUUUAUUUUUGUACAAUAUUUUUAUUUUAUUUUAGGAUUUCUUUUUCCUUUUGACUCUUUUUGUGUUUUAGAACUUUAUUUCAGGUACUUUUCGAGGAUAAUGACUCCUUCUUAGGAGACGUCAUCUAAGAUGACGCUUGGAGAAUAUAUGCGUCGAAGUUCACAUUAUCAGGAGACCUCAUCUGAGAUGACGCUUGAUGGGAAAAAACUAUUUGCUGGUUUUUUAGGAAAGUGAAGAGACGACGGUUCGAACGAGACUCCUCAACCAAGCAAACUGCGUAACCUCACACAGAUGCACUGCACGGGAGUGCUUUGAGUUCGAGAGAUCAAUCUUUAGGACUCCGGCCUAAACCAAGUCAAUGGUCGUUCCAGAGUCAAUUCGGUCACAAAGAGGGAGAUGGGUUGAUCUGUAGGAGGGAAGUUGAGAAGUGUGUGAGAUCAAUGAUGAUCAAGGAUUAUGGAUGUGUUGUGGGUUUCUGCAAGUUUAUGAACUGCUGAGUUCUGUGAAUAAGUUUCGAUCGAGAGAAUUUUUGUCUGUGGACGGAUGUUGUCCUCAGUCGUCGAUUCAGAACUUAUUUAUAUUGUCAGAAUAGUAAGCACAUUGAUCCAAGUAAGUGUGACGGUUUCUUGAGUGAAAGAGUGGGAAAGUGGGAGAUCGUGGUAAAAUCAGCUCCAUGUCGUAUGGAGACUUGAUUGAUCGUCCAACCACUACUUUUCUAAC